rnacentral:rRNA from 1 species
UCGGGAAUUUUGGGCAAUGGGCGAAAGCCUGGCCCAGCAACGCCGCGUGAGGGAUGAAGUAUUUCGGUAUGUAAACCUCGAAAGAAUGGGAAGAAUAAAUGACGGUACCAUUUAUAAGCUCCGGCUAACUACGUGCCAGCAGCCGCGGUAAUACGUAGGGAGCAAGCGUUGUUCGGAUUUACUGGGCGUAAAGGGCGCGUAGGCGGCGCGGUAAGUCACUUGUGAAAUCUCUGAGCUUAACUCAGAACGGCCAAGUGAUACUGCUGUGCUAGAGUGCGGAAGAGGCAACCGGAAUUCUUGGUGUAGCGGUGAAAUGCGUAGAUAUCAAGAGGAACACCUGAGGCGAAGGCGGGUUGCUGGGCCGACACUGACGCUGAUGCGCGAAAGCCAGGGGAGCAAACG